GCCUGCAUGAAGUUGGAAUCACUAGUAAUCGCGGAUCAGCAUGCCGCGGUGAAUGCGUUCUCGGGCCUUGUACACACCGCCCGUCACACCAUGAGAGUCGGGAACACCCGAAGUCCGUAGCCUAACCGCAAGGGGGGCGCGGCCGAAGGUGGGCUCGAUAAUUGGGGUGAAGUCGUAACAAGGUAUC
rnacentral:rRNA from 1 species